rnacentral:rRNA from 1 species
AUUUGCCUUAACAACUAGCCCUCCUCCAAACUACAACAAACAACAUUAAUAAACCCCAAAGUACUAUAUUUGACAACCAAACCAUUUUUCCACCUAAGUAUGGGAGACAGAAAG